CUCAUCAAAAUUGUUGAAUAGACACACAAAGCAAAACAUUUCUUGAUUUCUUCUCUACCAACUUAAUUAGUUUUGAUCAUUUUUAGUGCAGAAAUGGAUUGUGUAAAACUUGUAUUCUUUAUGCUAUAUACCUUUCUUGGUCAACUUGUUUUCUCCUCAUCCUUACCUCAUUUGUGUCCCGAAGAUCAAGCUCUUGCUCUUCUACAAUUCAAGAACAUGUUUCCCAUUAAUCCUAAUGCUUCUGAUUAUUGUUUUGAAUGGAAAGAGUUUCAUUCAUAUCCGAAAACUCUUACAUGGAAUAGGAGCACAGAUUGUUGCUCAUGGGAUGGAGUACAUUGUGACAAGAUGACGGGACAGGUGAUUGAGCUCAACCUCACUUGCAGCGGACUUCAAGGCAAGUUUCAUUCCAAUUGUAGCCUCUUUCAACUUUCCAAUCUCAAAAGGAUUGAUUUGUCUUUUAAUAAUUUCACUGGAUCACUCAUUUCACCUAAAUUUGGUGACUUCUCCAGUUUAACACAUCUUGAUCUAUCAGUUUCAAGUUUUUCAGGUCAAAUCCCUUCUGAAAUAUCUUAUCUAACCAAUUUAAACGUUCUUCGUAUCACGGCUGUUGAUCCAUAUGGGCUUAGACUUGGGCCUCACAAUUUUGAAUUGCUCCUUAAGAACUUGACCCAAUUAAGAGAGCUCAAACUUGACUCUGUGAACAUCUCCUCCACCAUUCCUCUAAAUUUCUCUUCUUAUUUAACAGUUCUACGGCUUCCAUACACACAGUUACGUGGGGUAUUGCCCGAAAGAGUAUUCCACCUUUCCAACUUAGAAUUCCUUCAUUUAUCAUCCAAUCCCCAGCUCAGUGUUAGGUUUCCCACAACCAAAUGGAAUAGCAGUGCAUCACUCAUGAAGUUAUAUCUCUUAGGGGUGAAUAUUACUAGUAGGAUACCUGAAUCAUUUAGCCAUCUAACUUCACUUCAUGAGUUGGACAUGGGUAAUACUAAUCUGUCAGGGUCCAUUCCUAAACCUCUAUGGAAUCUCACCAACAUAGAGAUUUUGUACCUUGAUACUAACCGUCUUGAAGGAACAAUUUCCCAGUUCUCGAUAUUUGAAAAGCUCAAGACGUUAUCACUUGGAAAUAACAACUUUGAUGGCCGACUUGAGUUCUUAUUCUUUAACAGAAGCUGGAUGCAACUUGAAUGGCUAGAUUUGCCAUCCAAUUCCCUAACUGGUCCAAUUCCAUCCAACGUAAGCGGACAGCGAAAUCUACAAUCACUCUUCUUGUCAUCAAACUACUUGAAUGGGACUAUACCUUCCUGGAUAUUCUCCCUUCCUUCACUAACAAAUUUAGAAUUGAGCAAUAACACUUUCAGCGGAAAAAUUCAGGAGUUCAAGUCCAAAACAUUAUAUUUCGUUACUCUAAAAGAAAAUAAGCUGGAAGGUCCUAUUCCAAAGUCACUCCUAAACCAGCAGAGCCUACGAGUUCUUCUCCUUUCACACAAUAAUAUCAGUGGACAGAUUGAUUCAGCUAUCUGCAAUAUGAAAACAUUGUUGCUACUAGAUUUGAAAAGUAAUAAUUUGGAGGGAACAAUUCCACAAUGUUUGGGUGAGAUGAGUACAGUUCGGAUUUUGGAUUUAAGCAACAAUGGUCUUAGUGGGACAAUUAAUCCAACUUUUACUAUUGAAAACCAAUUCAACAUCAGUAAAUUGAAUGACAAUAAACUACAGGGGAAAGUUCCAUCAUCUUUGAUCAAUUGUGAAAAAUUGGAAUUUCUAGAUUUAAGUAACAAUGAGUUGAAUGACACGUUUCCAAAAUGGUUGGGAGAGCUACCUCAUUUGCAGAUCUUAAAGUUGAGAUCAAAUAAGUUCUAUGGCCCUAUAAGGACUGACAACUUGUUUGCUCAAAUUCGAGUCAUAGAUCUCUCAUCCAACGGAUUUAGUGGAGAUCUACCAGUGAACUUGUUUCAGAAUUUUCAAGCCAUGAAAAAAAAUGGUGAGAACAGUGGAACCCCAAAGUAUGUAGCAGAUAUAUAUUCUUAUUAUUAUAAAAAUUCUUUGAUAGUGACAACGAAGGGACUGGAUCAUGAACUUCCUCGAGUUUUGACUACACAAAUAAUUAUCGAUCUCUCAAGGAAUAGAUUUGAAGGUUGUAUUCCAAACAUUAUUGGAGAUCUCGCUGGACUUCGUACGUUGAACUUAUCUCAUAAUGUCUUGGAAGGUCACAUACCAGAAUCACUGCAACAUUUAUCUGUACUUGAAUCAUUGGAUCUUUCAUCCAACAAAAUAGGCGGUGAAAUAUCACAACAAUUUGUGUCCCUUACGUCACUUGAAGUCUUAAAUCUCUCUCACAAUCAUCUUGUUGGAUGCAUCCCCAAAGGAAACCAAUUUAAUACAUUUGAGAACAAUUCAUACCAAGGAAAUGAUGGAUUACGAGGAUUACCACCCUCAAGAGAUUGUGGCGGUGAUGAUAGGGUACCACAAGCGACAAUUCCAGUUGAGCUAGACCAAGAAGAAGAAGAUUCACCAAUGAUCAGUUGGCACGCAGUUCUCAUGGGUUACGGUUGUGGACUUGUUAUUGGACUAUCUGUAAUAUACAUAAUGUGGUCAACUCAAUAUCCAACAUGGUUUUGGAGGAUGGAUUUAAAAUUGGAACACAAAAUUAGUACGAGAAUGAAAAGGCACAAGAAAAGAUAUUAGUGUGCACUGACCUGCAGGUAUUCAACUUGAUCUUUAUCCUUCAAAAGACUACUUCUUAUAUAUCGAUUUAUUAGUGUGUAAGUUUAAUUCUUUAUUUUUGAAAAUUGCAGGAUUCAAGUCUACUGAUCAGUUGCUGAUGAUGCAGAUAAAAGCCUUUAUCUUUCAUAGUUUGUGAUGUUUCCAUAAAGUGUUUGUUAUCCUAUGAAUAAAGACAUGACUUUUCUUCCUUGAGACUCAAAUCAGAUUAUGUUUUCAUUUGUCUAUGGCUUGUAGAAAUAAAUUCGACUGAUAAACAGAAAUCGGACACAAACUGCUUAAUCUGUGUCUGUAUUUACAUUGACUCCUCUAAAUUCCAAACCUUCCUGGUAUGACAUAUCAUACCACCCCAAAUACCUUCCAGUUCCAAAUAAAUUUUCUAAAUAUCUAGCUAGAUAGAGUUUUGGAUGUGGAAAAUCCACUCGAGCUGGUGCGCUAUGGAGAAGGAGUUGUGUUCAAAGUAGAUUUUCAUCGCUACUCAAGUUUGCAUUAACAAAGUGACAUCCUACUCCUAAAAUACAAUGAAUUCCAUUGCAGCAUAGAGUGAUCCCAUAUCUAUUGGUUGAACUAUUUUGAGGCAUUUGAUGUAGACUUUGUAGGAAAACAAUAACGAAUUAGCUCAAGGAGUACUAAAAGUUCCGUUAAAGAAAAUUCUUAAAAACUACAUGUGACAACUCGUACUAUAAGAGCAUGCAAGUUUGAGUCCUCUUCAAAGCAUAAUAUUAGUGUAACACCCCGUAUUCGAAACAGACCAAAUUGCAGAUUUUUAGAAGUUGCAGGUGCGACUUACGGUCACCAUCCAUGGACCGUAGGUCAGACCACGGCCCGUGCUGGUGGUCCGUGGUUCACCACUGCAACCCUCCCCAAAUCAGCUCAGAAAAAUUGGCUAAGUCCCGACUCACGGACAGACCUACGGUCCGUAGAUCAGACCACGGUCCGUGGUCUGAGUCCGUGGAUCGAGACUUCCCUUACCUAGCCUUUGAAACAAACUACGGUCAACCAGUACGGACCGUCAUUCGAUCCACGGUCCGUAGGUCUGACCGUAGAUGAGGGUCAAGCAACCAGUUAGAUGAAAAUUGUGGUUAAGUCAACUUCAGAUGGUCAUAACUCUUAGCACAAAAUGAAUUAUGUGUCCCAUUACCUAUGGUUAGAUAGAUAAUUGAAUUAUCUCUCCAACGCCACUGAGUUUGCUAAAUUCUGACCUCCGAGUAAAAAGUUAUGCUCGUUUUAGUGAAGCCCUGUCGGGCAGACUCGACUUACGGACCCAAUCGACGGUCCGUCUAUUGAACUACGGCCCGUCAGUCCAGUUCGUCGAUUGGUCCGACAGCAGUUAAUUCAAGGGUCUUUUGGUCUUUUCCUCUUUCGUUUAACCCCUAAGAUACGUCGUUUAAACCCUAAAUCAUAAGGUUUUAGUCAGUUUAAGCCUAGAAACAUAACUAGAACUUACCUAAGUCAAAUCAUUAAUCAAAACUUAGAAAAUUAGAAGCAAGAGAGGAGAAAAAGGUCAAGAACCCUAGUUCAAGAACCCUACAAGGUUCCAUCAGUUCCAGCCUCGAAAUUGAAAGAUUUCUCCGUGGAAUUCGUCACCAGGUAUGUGGGAUUUCACUAGUGGGUUCCUUUCACCCAUUAGGUCCCUAGAAUUCAGUCAGAUUCUUGAUUCCAUGAUUAUGAACAGACCUAGGGUUUCUAGAAUUACAACAGAUCAUCAUGAAUUAGUUAUUUAAAUGUUCCAAAUCAAAUUAUCAUGUUAUUGCUGAGCUUCUCGCAUGAAUUUUAGAACCCUAGCUAUGUAUUUCUUUAGUUCUUGAAUUACACAUGCUAGGUCAAAUAUUUNNNNNNNNNNNNNNNNNNNNNNNNNNNNNNNNNNNNNNNNNNNNNNNNNNNNNNNNNNNNNNNNNNNNNNNNNNNNNNNNNNNNNNNNNNNNNNNNNNNNNNNNNNNNNNNNNNNNNNNNNNNNNNNNNNNNNNNNNNNNNNNNNNNNNNNNNNNNNNNNNNNNNNNNNNNNNNNNNNNNNNNNNNNNNNNNNNNNNNNNNNNNNNNNNNNNNNNNNNNNNNNNNNNNNNNNNNNNNNNNNNNNNNNNNNNNNNNNNNNNNNNNNNNNNNNNNNNNNNNNNNNNNNNNNNNNNNNUUAUUAGUAGCUCCCACAGUUCAGUCAGACUCUAUUGCAUUGACCAUAUUUCAGUACGGUCAGUAUUCAGUCUCAGCAUGUUAUAAAUUUGGUCAUUGCAUCAGUUAGCUCAGUAUUCAGUAUUUUCAGUAUCUAUAUCAUGUUCAGAUUAUUUCAUUGCUUUAUUGCUUUGUUCAGUGAUAUGUUAUUUCAGCUGUAUUCUAUCCUGCAUGUUUAGUACCUUUCAAGUACUGAUGCAUACGUGCGCUAUAUCUUCUCGUGAUGUAGGUUCAGGUUCUCAGCAUCCAGAUCACGCUUAGAUCGAUUCCCGAUCUUCAGUUCAGCUGCACCAGUGGUGAGUCCUCAUUCUUCGUGGACUAGUGACAUGUUUAUCUUUAUCGCUUUUAGUCUUUAGUUUCAGUUUUGAUAGAUCUAGUUGGGGCAUGUUCCAACAUUUCUAGUCAGUUUAGAGGCUUAUUUCAGACAUAGUUAGAUUUAGCUUAGUAUUGAGUUAAUAUUUUCUUUGUAUUAAACUCAUCAAUUUUUCAUAUAUCUCAGAUAUAGUAUAUGGGUAUUCCCCAUCAUUUCAGACUUACUUUAUGAUUUAGCUUCCGCAUCAGUUAUUAUUAUCUUUAGUAUGCUCAUGAUCAUGCCAGCAGGGUUAGCUUGGGAUCACUUGUGGUCCUAGGUCCCGUGUCCGCGUCUUGGGGGUAGUCUCGGGGCGUGACAAUUAGGGCUCAUCAAAUGUGCGUUCUCAACAACAGAGCUCGGAUCAUUAAUUAACAGUAUCAUUUCACUUCACAUCCUAGCACUAUCAUUCUCUGGAAAAACUUAACAGCAACUUCAGAGCACCCGUUCUUCAUGUACCCAUAAAUCAUACGAGUCUAUGAAUAAACAUCUCUAGAAGGCAUGUAAGAAAACAUCAAGAACCCCAAACCCAUUUUUCCCUCAAGCAUUGCAUUAACUAAAUUCAGUAUCAUUAUUAUCAGUUAACUAUCUCCUGGGGCCUAUUCGACUGAUAAACAGAAAUUGGAAACUACUUGAAUCAUUCGAUCAAUUUCCAACUGAGAUAAUAGCAGAAGUCGUAUGCUUAAUUUAUGGGUUGCUCAUGGCUUUGUGUCAUUUAAGUACCUAAAGAAGAAUUUGAGUGUACAUAAGACUAAUUGGUAAGGUUCUACUGGUUUAAAAUAUAAUGUUUAGGGAUCACGUACAACGCGCAAGGACAAGAUCUUAGUAAAACAUGUGAUAAUCUGCUGUCAGGAUAUUGGAAUCACAUUAAAGUUCCUAAAAGACUUAGCUUCCAAUGUCUUUUCUGGUGAAGAGCUAAAGAUUAUUGGAAAUGCUGAUAAGUAAUUGAUUACUUGUCUGUAUAUUUGUCACAUUGUUCCCUGGCCAAAAUUUUAGGAAAUAGAUGCAUUGUUGAGCGUAUGCUCGAAACCAAUUAAGGAUACGAAAAGUUCUGUCACAACAAAUUCUUAAAAGGGUAUAUGCAUAGUACACUUAUCCUAACUAUCAAAACCUUCUUUUUUUUUUUACCUUUUAAGUUAAAGUCUAUACACAAAGUAACACUCUUAUCCUGACUAAUCAAGACUUUAACGGAUUUUCGAUUUGGGACAGUAAGUAAUACCUUAAAAUCACCAGAACUGCAAAUCCAAACAAAUUUACAUGACAAAUUGUGAGAAUAAACCGACAUCAAUUGCAUAAAAUUUUGGACGAGAAAAACUCUUAAAAAUGGUGUAAUAUCAUUGGCUUUGGGUAAAACUUGCACAGUUUCCUCUUAAAUGUUCACUUUAUACAUAUCUUCUUUUUAUCUUACCAACUUCUAAUGCAAGACUUUUUUCAUACACCCAACCGACAUAAGAGAGCCAAAACAACUUUUGUAUGUGUUGUGUGUGGAGAGUUGUUAAGAGAGACACGUUGAAUGUGAAUAUGUAAUUGACAACUCUAAAAUUGACUGAACAUGACAAGGUGACCUUCCUGAAAUUGAUUACUCCAAAGCAACAACUAAAUGUACAUAGUAAAUUUCUUUUCUUAGUUUGUGCUAUAUAUACCUCAUCAAACUUACUGAAUAUAGACACACAACAAACAUUUCUUGAUUUCUUCUCUACCAACUUAAUUAGUUUUGAUCAUUUUAGAGCAAAAAUGGGUUAUGUAAAACUUUUAUUUUUUAUGCUAUAUACCGUUCUUUGUCAACUUGCUUUCUCGUCAUCCUUGUGCCCCAAAGAUCAAGCUCUUUCUCUUCUACAAUUCAAGCACAUGUUUACCAUUAAUCUUGAUGCUUCUUAUGAUUGUGAGUUUUCUCAUCCAAAAACUCGUUCAUGGAACAAGAGCAUGGAUUGUUGCUCAUGGAAUGGAGUUCAUUGUGACAAGACAACAGGACAAGUGAUUGAGCUUGAUCUCCGUUGCAGCGAACUUCAAGGCAAGUUUCAUUCCAAUAGUAGCCUCUUUCAACUCUUCAAUCUCAAAAGGCUUGAUUUGUCGUAUAAUGAUUUCACUGGAUCACUCAUUUCACCUAAAUUUGGUGAGUUUUCAAGUUUGACGCAUCUUGAUUUGUCGCAUUCAAGAUUUACAGGUCUAAUCCCUUCUGAAAUAUCUCACCUUUCUAAAUUACACGUUCUUUUUAUAUGGAACCCCUCGGGUGGUUUAUAUGACCUUAGUCUUAGUCUUGGGCCUCACAAUUUUGAACUUCUCCAUCAGAACUUGACCCAAUUAAGAGAGCUUGACCUUUAUGGUGUGAACAUCUCUUCCACCAUUCCUUCAAUUUUUUCUUCUCAUUUAACAACUCUAGCACUUUCAGACACACAUUUAUGUGGGAUAUUGCCCGAAAGUGUUUUCCACCUUUCCAACUUAAAAACUCUCGAUUUGUCAUACAAUCACAAGCUCACAGUUAGGUUUCCCAUAACCAAAUGGAAUAGCAGCGCAUCACUCAUGUACUUAAAUCUCUAUGAUGUGAAUAUUACUGGUAGGAUACCUGAAUCAUUUAGCCAUCUAAUUGCACUUCAUGACUUGGACAUGGUUAGUCUAAUCUGUCAGGGCCUAUUCCUAAACCUCUAUGCAAUCUAACCCACAUAGAGAGUUUGUCCCUUAAUGAUAACCAUCUUGAAGGACCAUUGAGCCUUUUUCAGAAUUUUCAAGCAAUGAAAACAAUUGGUGAGAACAGUGGAACCCGAGAGUAUGUAGCAGAUAAAUUUUCUUUUUUUUACACUAAUUCUAUGAUAGUGACAACAAAGGGACUGGAUCAUGAACUUCCUAGAGUUUUGACUACACAAAUAAUUAUCGAUCUCUCAAGGAAUAGAUUUGAAGGUCAUAUUCCAAACAUUAUUGGAGAUCUCGUUGGACUUCGUACCUUGAACUUAUCCCAUAAUGUCUUGGAAGGUCAUAUACCAGCAUCAUUGCAAAAUUUAUCAGUACUCAAAUCAUUGGAUCUCUCAUCUAACAAAAUCAGCGGAGAAAUUCCGCAGCAGCUUGCAUCCCUCACAUUUCUUGCAGUCUUGAAUCUCUCUCACAAUCAUCUUGUUGGAUGCAUCCCUAAAGGAAAACAAUUUGAUACGUUUGAGAACAGUUCAUACCAAGGAAAUGUUGGAUUAUGAGGAUUGCCACCCUCAAGAGAUUGUGGCCGUGAUGAUAGGGUACCACAAGCGACAAUUCCAGUUGAGCUAGAUCAAGAAGAAGAAGAAGAUUCACCAAUGAUCAAUUGGCAGGCGGUUCUCAUGGGUUACGGUUGUGGACUUAUUAUUGGAUUGUCCGUAUAAUAUGUAAUGUCUUCAACUCAAUAUCCAAAAUGGUUUUCGAGGAUGGUUGUAAAAUUGGAAGACAAACUUAUUACAAGAAUGAAAAAGUAGAGGAAAAGAUAUUAGUGUAUAGUUACCUCCAGGUAUUCAACUUGAUCAUUGUCCUUCAGAAGAUUAUUUUUUAUAUAUCGAUGAAAUUAUCGACCUCCUUCAUCCUCAAAGCUCUUAACUUUAACUCUUCAUUUUUGUAAAUUUCAGGAUUCAAGAGUUCCGAGUUCCGAGUUGCUGGGGAUGCAGAUAAAGCCUUUUUAUCGUUCAUAGUUUGUAAUGUUUCCAUGAAGUGUUUCUUAUCCUAUGAAUAAAUAUUUUGUUUUCAUUUGUCUAUGGCAUGCAGCUAUGUUCCAUCACUAAAAACAUUGUAUUUCUCUCAACUCUUUUGUCACAUGAUAUCAUAACACAAACAAAGAACACUUGAAUCAAAACCUGGAAGAAACAUCAGGAAACCAUGAAUCAAAGUUGCAGUAGUCUACUAUAUUAACUUUUUUCGUUGAAGCACAACCGACAUAUCAUGAGAAAGAGACUGUGAUCUCAGAAAUGAGAAUUUACCAAUCCACAACCCUGCAGUAUCUACUGGAACUUUUUUCUGUCGCUUCUUCUUGCCCCAAUCUCAGGAACAUUUCAUUCUUGACUGGUCCUUGAUGCAAUAAAUUAAAUCGUGAGUGGAAUUUGUUAAUCUAGUAGCUAAUUAAUGCUCGAAGAAGAUGAAUGCUAAUUCAGGGACUUAGCCGAGAAUUAUAGCUGAAAGAGAAAUGUAGAAGAAGAAGAGAUUGAUCUUAUUUCAUGAAUGAAUAACAUUUUGCAAUCAUAGACAGAGGAAUGAAACUAAUGGCCUAACGAACACUCUGUGAAUAGUGAACAGUACUAACCCAUACCGUGAAGUCUCCAGGAUACAAAUAUUUGGCCUUCGAAAGCAAACUUUUUCUCUCUAAAUACAAGCUUUAUUUUCAUAGUUUCUGAUGUUUCAUCUUACAUUUUUUUAUUACUACCUGUUGUUUCUUUAGCCUCGAUUACUGUAUUAUCUUGUUGUUUUUUCUGCUUGUUGCUACUAUGCCUUCUUUUACAUCGAAAAUAACCUCUCUAACUUCAAGGUAGUGGUAAGGUCUGCGUACACAGUAUACUCCCAAGACAGCCAGGCCCCACUGUCUUCCAUCAGCAGCUCAAUUCUUGUUUCUGUCAAGUUGUAUGGUGUGUGUUAAGAGAGCAAAGCAAAGAUACUUUUUGUGACAUUCAAACAAAAUGCAUGUGUUAUUACAAGUGGUGGGACUUUGUGUUUGAAUCUUUCUAUGCUAUCUUAUUUAUCUUCCCUUCCAUCACUCGUAAACAUACAUUUCAAAGGGAUCAAAAUUGAAUCAAAUUAUUCUACAUGCCUAAAUUCCUUUAUUAUUGUGUUAUCAAAUAACUACAUCAACUCUAAAAUACUCAUAUAUAUGAGUAGUAAUUUUCAUUUGAAGAGUACUUUUAUGGAACUAUUUAGUUGUGUAAAUUUUAUUUCAAGAUAAGCAAAAGAAGUCGAUAUGUGAAUUUACUCCGAAAAUUUUAAGAAGUGACCUUCAUUUUAAAUUUUCUUUGGAACGAAAAAAUGGAUGGAUGGACCUAAGAUCGUGCUGAAAGACGGAGUCGAUGGACAACAUGUAAAUAUCAUAACUUUUACUAUUUUAAUUAACAUUUGAAUUGAGCUUGAUUUUCAUUGGAACAAACUCUAAUUCUUUUGAUAAAAAUUAAAUUUGCUAACAAAUACAAUGACGAAUGCUUUAACAUGUGUAUCCUAAGGAGGAGAGAAAGCAAAGUAAAAAAAUUAUUCUUGUUUUUUUGUUUUGUAAUAGAAAGUGAACCAAAACAAAGACCUUUUAUGUGACCUCUUCGUCUAUAAUAAGCACAUGUGAUUGUCAACUUCAAAUUGACAGAAAAUGACUACUUAACCAAUAGAGAUUUUUUUUUGCUUAAUUUGUGCUAUAUAUACGUCAUCAAAAUUGUUGAAUAGACACAAAAGCAAACAUUUCCUGAUUUCUUCACUGCCAACUUAAUUAGUUUUUGACCAUUUUAGUGAAGAAAUGGGUUGUGUAAAAGUUGUGUUUUUUAUGCUAUAUCCCUUUCUCUGUCAACUUGCUUUCUCCUCAUCCUCACCUCAUUUGUGCCCCCGAAGAUCAAGCUCUUGCUCUUCUACAAUUCAAGAACAUGUUUACCGUGAGACCUACUUCUUAUGGUUGUUACGACUAUACAGACCAAAGGAUGAAGUCAUAUCCAAGAACUCUUUUCUGGAACAAGAGCACCGAUUGCUGCUCAUGGGAUGGAGUUCAUUGUGACGAGACAACAUGACAAGUGAUUGAGCUUGAUCUCCGUUGCAGCCAACUUCAAGGCAAGUUUCGUUCCAAUAGUAGCCUCUUUCAACUCUUCAAUCACAAAAGGCUUGAUUUGUCUUAUAACGAUUUCUUUGAAUCGCUCAUUUCACCUAAAUUUGGUGAGUUCUCUAGAUUGACGCAUCUUGAUUUGUCGAGUUCACGUUUUACAGGUCUAAUCCCUUGUGAAAUCUCUCAUCUUUCUAAAUUAUACGUUCUUCGUAUAUGGACUGUAUUUCCAUAUGGCCUUAGACUUGGGCCUCACAAUUUUGAACUACUCCUUAAGAACUUGACUCAAUUAAGAGAUCUCGACCUUUACUCUGUGAACAUCUCUUCCACUAUUCCUCUGAAUUUCUCUUCUUAUUUAACAAAUUUACAGCUUCAACACACACAAUUUCGUGGGGUAUUUCCCGAAAGAGUUUUCCACCUUUCCGAUUUAGAAUUCCUUGAUUUAUCUCACAAUCCCCAGCUCACAGUUAGGUUUCCCACAACCAAAUGGAAUAGCAGUGCAUCACUCAUGUACUUAAAUCUCUAUGAUGUGAAUAUUAAUGGUAGGAUACCUGAAUCAUUUAGCCAUCUAACUUCACUUCAUAUGUUGAACAUGGGUAAUACUAAUCUGUCAGGGCCCCUUCCUAAACCUCUAUGGAAUCUCACCAACAUAGAGAGUUUGUUCCUUGGUAGUAACCAUCUUGAAGGACUAAUUUCCCUGUUAUCGAGAUUUGAAAAGCUCAAGGAAUUAUUACUUGGAAAUAACAAUUUUGAUGGCCGACUUGAGUUCUUAUCCUUUAACAGAAGCUGGAUGCAACUCGAUACCUUAGAUUUUUCGUCCAAUUACCUAACUGGUCCAAUUCCAUCCAACGUAAGUGGACUGCGAAACCUAAAACAGCUCUUCUUGUCAUCAAGCUACUUGAAUGGGACUAUACCUUCCUGGAUAUUCUCCCUUCCUUCACUGAUAGCGUUAGACUUAAGCAAUAACACUUUCAGUGGAACAGUUCAAGUCCAAAACAUUAAAUGUCGUUACUCUAAAUCAAAAUAAGCUGGAAGGUCCUAUUCCAAAGUCACUCCUAAACCAGCAGUUCCUACUAGGUCUUCUCUUUUCACACAAUAACAUCAGUGGACGUAUUGCUUCAGCUAUCUGCAAUCUGAAAACAUUGCAAGUAUUAGAUUUGAGAAGUAAAAUUUUGGAGGGAACAAUCCCACAAUGUUUGGGUGAGAUGAGUGCAGUUGAGAUUUUGGAUUUGAGCAACAAUAGUCUUAGUGGGACAAUUAAUACAACUUUUAGUAUUCGAAACCGACUCAACAUCAUUAAAUUGCAUAGUAAUAAGCUAGAGGGGAAAGUUUCACAAUCUUUGAUCAAUUGUAAAUAUUUAGAACUUCUUGAUUUAGGUAACAAUGAGUUGAAUGACACGUUUCCAAAAUGGUUGGGAGAGCUACCUCAUUUGCAGAUCUUAAAGUUGAGAUCAAAUAAGUUCUAUGGCCCUAUAAGGAUUGACAACUUGUUUGCUCAAAUUCGAGUCAUAGAUCUCUCAUCCAAUGGAUUUAGUGGAGAUUUACCAUUGAGUCUUUUUCAGAAUUUUCAAGCCAUGAAAACAAAUGGUGAGAACAAUGGAACCCGAGAGUAUGUAGCAGAUACAUUUUUUUUUUACUUACACUAAUUCUAUGAUAGUGACAACAAAGGGACUGGAUCAUGAACUUCCUGGAGUUUUGACUACACAAAUAAUUAUCAAUUUCUCAAUGAAUAGAUUUGAAGGUCAUAUUCCAAGCAUUAUUGGAGAUCUCGUUGGACUUCGUACCUUGAACUUAUCUCAUAAUGUCUUGGAAGGUCAUAUACCAGCAUCAUUGCAAAAUUUAACUGUACUCGAAUCGUUGGAUCUCUCAUCUAACAAUAUCAGUGGAGAAAUUCUGCUGCAGCUUGCAUCCCUCACAUUUCUUGCAGUCUUAAAUCUCUCUCACAAUUAUCUUGUUGGAUGCAUCCCCAAAGGAAAACAAUUUGAUACGUUUGAGAACAGUUCAUACCAAGGAAAUGAUGGAUUACGAGGAUUGCCACCCUCAAGAGAUUGUGGUCGUGAUGAUAGGGUACCACAAGAGACAAUUCCAGUUGAGCUAGAUCAAGAAGAAGAAGAAGAAGAUUCACCAAUGAUCAAUUGGCAGGCGGUUCUUAUGGGUUAUGGUUGUGGACUUGUUAUUGGACUGUCUGUAAUAUACGUAAUGUGGUCAACUCAAUAUCCAGCAUGGUUUUCGAGGAUGGAUUUAAAAUUGGAACACAGAAUUACUACGAGAAUGAAAAAGUACAAGAAAAGAUAUUAGUGAGUAGCGACCCCCAGGUAUUCAACUUGAUCUUUAUCUUUCUUAAGAUCAUUUUAUAUGUCAAUGUGUUUUCAACCUCCUUCAUCGUCAGAGCUCUUACCUUAAUUCUUUAUUUUUGAAAAUUGCAGGAUUCAAGUCUACUGAGUUGUGGGGGAUGCAGAUAAAAGUCUUUAUUUUUCAUAGUUUGUGGUGUCUCCAUAAAGUAUUUGUUAUACUAUGAAUAAAGACAUGACUUUUCUUCCUUUGAGACUCAACCAGAUUUUGUUUUCAAAUGUCUAUGGCAUAUAGAAAUAAACGGAAAUCGGACACAAACUUGAAUCUUUAAAUCAUUCAAUCAGAGUAUUUCACUCAACUCUUUCACAUAACACAAAUAUAGAACACUCGAAUUUAAGUUCAGAAACAUAAAAAUCUGUAGUUACAGAUUUCAGAAAUAUUCUUUUACAGACACAUGAUGGUCCUUUAUCAAAAGAUCGAAGGAACAUCAGGAAACCAUGGACCAAAGUUGCAGUCUGCUAUCUUUAACUUUUUUCAUUGAAGCAGUAGCAAUUAACAUAUAAUCUAGAUUCUAUUCAACCUCCUUUAUGAUAUUAGUAAGAUAAAUGAAACAGUGCUAAAUCAAGAAAUGAAGAAAGCUGUAAAGUAUUCCGCUGCUGCUUAUUAGAAUAGGCUCAGACUCUUUUGAGACAUUAGAUGGUGAACUGAUCAAAUGGACGAAAAAGGCCUAUUAUUGUGUUAAAAGGUGUAUUAGAAUAAUCUCAUAUCCAUUGGGAGGACUGUUUUGAGCCAUUAGAACCAGGUAAAAGAAUAAGUUCUGUCACAACAAAUUCUAGGAAAUAGACGCAUUAUUGAGCUUAUGCUCGAAAUCAAUUAAGGGUACGAAAAGUUCUGUCACAACAAAUUCUUAAAAGGGUAUAAUAUGCAUACACUUAUCCUAUCAAAACCUUCUUGCUUUUUUUUUUUUUUUACCUUUAAAGUUAAAGUCUAUACACAAAGUAACACUCUUAUCUUCUUUUUUUCUUAAUGCAAGACUUUGUUCAUACACCCAACCAAUUAUCAAACUACUUGAUUCAGAACAAUACAUGCCAUCCUGGAUAUCCUCCGUUCCAUCACUAAACUUUGAGGACUAUAACAAUGUGUUUCUUCCGUUCUACUCUCCGAGAAGACAAGAACAGCAGUCUCACUCUCACACUCACCUAUAAGUUCCAGGAAGAUACAAAAAAAUGUUUAAUCAGUGGUAUUGAAACUAUGAAGAACAUGCCAUGUAUGGACUUCUGCACUGUCUUCCAUCAGCAGGUCAAUUCUUGUGGAAAAUUGGCUCGAGCUGGUGCACUAUGUAGGCGCUGUAUUCAGAGUAGAUUUCCAGUCUAACCUUAAUGCAUUAGCAAAGUGACACUCCUAUUCUUAAGGUAUAAAGUUGUUAUGUUUCUUUCAAAGUUUACACACUCCUAUCCUAAACAAUUUUGUUGUGUGGUGGUCCUAUUCCUGGAAUCCAAUUAAGUUGGCAAAACAAAGAUAUUUUUUUGUCGAUAAUAACGUUGCACACAAAAUGCAUGUGUAAUGUGUUAUAUACAAGUGGUGGGACUUUGUGAUUUGACUUAAGAAUGUGAACUAUUGAUAGUUUCCGGCAUUCACUUGUGUGACACAUUGAAUGGGCAUAUGUGAUUCACAACUUCAAAUUGACUGAAAAUGACUACGUAACCAAUAGUAAAAUUCUCUUUGCUUAAUUUGUGUUAUAUAUACCUCAUCAAAAUUGUUGAAUAAACACACAAAGCAAAAUAUUUCUUGAUUUCUUCUCUACCAACUUAAUUUAGUUUUGAUCAUUUUUUAGUGCAGAAAUGGAUUGUGUAAAACUUGUAUUGUUUAUGCUAUAUACCUUUCUCGGUCAACUUAUUUUCUCCUUAUCCUUACCUCAUUUGUGCCCCGAAGAUCAAGCUCUUGCUCUUCUACAAUUCAAGAACAUGUUUCCCAUUAAUCCUAAUGCUUCUGAUUAUUGUUUUAAAUUUAAAGAGUUUCAUUCAUAUCCGAAAACUCUUACAUGGAAUAGUAGCACAGAUUGUUGCUCAUGGGAUGGAGUACAUUGUGACAAGAUGACGGGACAGGUGAUUGAGCUCAACCUCACUUGCAGCGGACUUCAAGGCAAGUUUCAUUCCAAAUUGUAGCCUCUUUCAACUUUCCAAUCUCAAAAGGAUUGAUUUGUCUUUUAAUAAUUUCACUGGAUCGCUCAUUUCACCUAAAUUUGGUGACUUCUCCAGUUUAACACAUCUUGAUCUAACAGUUACAAGUUUUUCGGGUCAAAUCCCUUCUGAAAUAUCUCAUCUUUCAAAAUUACACGAUCUUCGUAUCUCUAAUGUUUAUCCAUAUGAGCUUAGAUUCGGACCUCACAAUUUUGAAUUGCUCCUUAAGAACUUGACCCAAUUAAGAGAGCUCCACCUUCACGAUGUGAACAUCUCUUCCACCAUUCCUCUGAAUAUCUCUUCUUAUUUAACAAAUCUACGGCUUCCAUUAACAGAGUUACGUGGGGUAUUUCCCGAAAGAGUUCUCCACCUUUCCGAUUUAGAAUUCCUUGAUUUAUCAGAAAAUCCCCAGCUCACUGUUAGGUUUCCCACAACCAAAUGGAAUAGCAGUGCAUCACUCAUGUACUUAAAUCUCUAUGAUGUGAAUAUUAAUGGUAGGAUACCUGAAUCAUUUAGCCAUCUAACUGCACUUCAUGACUUGAACAUGGGUUAUUCUACUCUGUCAGGGCCUAUUCCUAAACCUCUAUGGAAUCUCACCAACAUAGAGAGUUUGUUCCUUAGUGAUAACUAUCUUGAAGGACCGAUUUCCCAGUUCUCGAGAUUUGGAAAGCUUAGGGUGUUAUACCUUGGAUAUAACAACUUCGAUGGCUGACUUGAGUUCUUAUCCUUUAACAGAAACUGGACGCAACUUGAAGUAUUAGAGUUUUCAUUCAAUAACCUAACUGGUCCAAUUCCAACUAAUGUAAGAGGACUACAAAACCUACAAUGGCUCAAAUUGUCAUCAAACCACUUGAAUGGGACUAUACCUUCCUGGAUAUUCUCCCUUCCUUCACAGACAGUGUUAAACUUGAGAAAUAACCCUUUCAGUGGAAAAAUUCAGGAGUUCAAGUCCAACACAUUGUUGGAAGUUGAUCUAAGACAAAAUCAACUAGAAGGUCCUUUACCAAAUUCACUCCUAAAACAGCCAAACCUAAAAUUUCUUCUCCUUUCACACAAUAAUAUUAGUGGACAGAUUGCUUCAACUAUCUGCAAUCUGAAAACACUAACAGCUUUGGACUUAGGAAGUAACAAUUUGGAGGGAACAAUCCCACAAUGUUUGGUUGAGAUGAAUGAAUACCUUUGGAAUUUGGAUUUGAGCAACAACAGUCUUAGUGGGACUAUCAAUACAAAUUUUAGUGUUGGAAACGAUCUCACGAUCAUUAGCUUGCAUGGGAAUAAGCUAACGGGGAAAGUCCCACGAUCUUUGAUCAAUUGCAAGUACUUGACACUUCUUGAUCUAGGUAACAAUCAGUUGAAUGACACAUUUCCAAACUGGUUGGGACACCUACCUGAUUUGAAGAUUUUAAGCUUGAGAUCAAAUAAGUUUCAUGGUCCCAUUAAAUCUUCAGGGAAUACAAACUUGUUUGCGCGGCUUCAAAUUCUGGAUCUAUCAUCCAAUGGAUUUAGUGGUAAUUUACCAAUAAGUCUUUUUGGGAAUUUGCAAGCCAUGAAGAAAUUGAUGAGCGUACAAGAACCCCAGAGUAUGUUUCUGAUCAAUAUGCUGGUUAUUAUGAUUAUUUGAUGACAAUUACAACAAAGGGGCAAGAGUAUGAUUGUGUUCAAAUUUUGGAUUCUAACAUGAUUAUCGAUCUCUCAAAGAACCGAUUUGAAGGUCAUAUUCCAAGCAUUAUUGGAGAUCUCGUUGAACUUCGUACCUUGAACUUAUCUCAUAAUGUCUUGGAAGGUCAUAUACCAGCAUCAUUGCAAAAUUUAUCUGUACUCGAAUCAUUGGAUCUCUCAUCUAACAAAAUCAGCGGAGGAAUUCCACCACAACUUGCAUCCCUCACGUUUCUUGCAGUCUUAAAUCUCUCUCACAAUCAUCUUGUUGGAUGCAUCCCCAAAGGAAAACAAUUUGAUACGUUUGAGAAUAGCUCAUACCAAGGGAAUGAUGGGUUAUGUGGACUGCCAUUCUCAAAACAUUGUGGUGGUGAUGGUAGGGUACCACAAGCGACAAUUCCAGCUGAGCAAGAUCAAGAAGAAGAAGAAGAUUCACCAAUGAUCAGUUGGCAGGCGGUUCUCAUGGGUUACGGUUGUGGUCUAGUUAUUGGACUGUCUAUAAUAUACAUAAUGUUGUCAACUCAAUAUCCAACAUGGUUUUCGAGGAUGGUAUUGAAAUUGGAACACAGAAUGAUUACGAGAAUGAAAAGGCACAAGAAAAGAUAUUAGUGAGUAGCGACCUCCAGGUAUAUAACUUGAUCUAUUUUAUUUUAUUUCUAUUUUUUUUUACCCUCCGUAGGAGCUCCCACCCCUUUUGCUCCCUUGGUGACUCGAACUCGCAACCUUCGGGUUGGAAGUGAGAGGUGCUUACCAUCCGAGCAACUCCCUCUCGUCAUUCAACUUGAUCAUUAUCCUUCAGAAGAUUAUUUUUUAUAUAUCGAUGUAAUUUCUACCUACUUCAUCCUUUAAGCUCUUAACUUUAAUUCUUCAUUUUUGAAAAUUGCAGGAUUCAAGUCUACUGAAUUGCUGGGAUGCAAUAAGACGAGUUUUUGUUUACCAAUAGUCUGUUAUAUAGUAUGUAGUAAUUUAUUCAGCCUGAUUAUUAGUUAGCUACUUCAUUUCGACUGCAAUGUUCAGUUCAUAAAUUUAUGAAGUUAUCUUAUCUUUUUGUUUUAAUUACAUCAAUAAUUUCAAUAGCAAGCUAAACGUGUACACCUUUUAAGACUCUCCUAAAAAUUGGCUUAAAUAUCCUUAUGGUGUUAAAGAUUGCUCUAAAGUCACCACUCCUUGUUAGUCGAAAAUCACACUUGUCUAAUUUCAAAUGUUUAUAUGUAAAAAGAAUCGAAGAUAUGCCUUUUUUUCUCAACUUUGAUCUGUAGAGGUAUUGAUCUUGUCGCCUCUGCUCUCUGUGCGUUCCUAUUUCUUAAUAAAUCUCUGUGACAUUAGAUACAGGCCUUGUACACCAUACCUUGUAGGAAGACAAUAACGGAUUAGUUCAAGGAGUACUAAAAGUUCUGUUAAAGAAAAUGCUUAAAAACUACAUAUGACAUCUUGUAUUAUAAAGAGAAUGCAAGCUUGAGUCUACUUCAAAUGAUCAUAAUAUAUCGGAUACUCAUUAAAUGAGCAUUCUCAAUAACAGAGCUUGGAUCAAAUCUAUAUUAUGUGCACAGAAUUAUGAAGCAUGAAUACUAGUUCACCUCAACUUUUUCCUUUUCUUUUUGCUAAGAAAAGGCAUUUUGUUGGGUUAUACACAUUUACAAGGGUGAAAAAGAUGCCACAAUUUACACCAUCCUGUAUCAAACAGUCCAGAAUCGAGACGAAGAUAACUAGCUUUAUAAAAAAUUAUUGAUAAAAAUUAUUGAUCUAGGAAAAAGAUGCAUUCUUGAGCUUAUGCUCGAAACUAAUUAAGGGAUAAUUCUCAAAGGAGUACGAAAAGUUCUGUUAUAGGAAGUUUCGUUCAUAACGUUCAAGAAUUUGAAUUACUCUGUGGGAGUAUCAAUUUGGAGGGAACAAUCCCACAAUGCCUGGGUGAGAUGAAUGAAUACCUUUGGAAUUUGGAUUUGAGCAACAACAGUCUUAGUGGGACAAUCAAUAUAAAUUUUAGUAUUGGAAACUCUUUCAGGGUCAUUAGCUUGCACGGGAAUAAGCUAACAGGGAAAGUCCCACCAUCUUUGAUCAAUUGCAAGUAUUUGACACUUCUUGAUCUAGGUAACAAUAAGUUGAAUGACACAUUUCCAAACUGGUUGGGAAACCUACCUGAUUUGCAGAUUUUAAGCUUGAGAUCAAAUAAGUUUCACGGUCCCAUUAAAUCUUCAGGGAAUACAAACUUGUUUGCGCAGCUUCAAAUUCUGGAUCUAUCAUCCAAUGGAUUUAGUGGUAAUUUACCAAUAAGUCUUUCUGGGAAUUUGCAAGCCAUGAAGAAAAUUGACGAGAGUACAAGAACCCCAGAGUAUGUUUCUGAUCAAUUUGCUGGUUAUUAUGAUUAUUUGAUGACAAUUACAACAAAGGGACAAGAUUAUGAUUGUGUUCAAAUUUUGGAUCCUAACAUGAUUAUCGAUCUCUCAAAGAACAGAUUUGAAGGUCUUAUUCCAAGCAUUAUUGGAGAUCUUGUUGGACUUUGUACCUUGAACUUAUCUCAUAAUGUCUUGGAAGGUCAUAUACCAGCUUCAUUGCAAAAUUUAUCAGUACUCGAAUCAUUGGAUCUCUCAUCUAACAAAAUCAGCGGAGAAAUUCCACAACAGCUUGCAUCCCUCACAUUCCUUGCAGUUUUAAAUCUCUCUCACAAUCAUCUUGUUGGAUGCAUCCCCAAAGGAAACCAAUUUGAUACGUUUGAGAACAGUUCGUACCAAGGGAAUGAUGGAUUAUGAGGAUUGCCACCCUCAAGAGACUGUGGCCGUGAUGAUAGGGUACCACAAGAGACAAUUCUAGUUGAGCUAGAUCAAGAAGAAGUAGAUGAUUCACCAAUGAUCAGUUGGCAGAAGGUUCUCAUGGGUUACGGUUGUGGUCUAGUUAUUGGAUUGUCUGUAAUAUACAUAAUGUGGUCAACUCAAUAUCCAGCAUGGUUUUCGAGGAUGGAUUUAAAAUUGGAACACAAAAUUACUACGAGAAUGAAAAGGCACAAAAAAAAGAUAUUAGUGUGUAGCGACCUUCAGGUAUUCAACUUGAUCUUUAUCUUUCUUAAGAUUAUUUUUUAUAUAUCAAUGUAUUUUCGACCUCCUUCAUCCUCAAAGCUCUUACCUUUAAUUCUUCAUUUUUGAAAAUUGCAGGAUUCAUGUCUACAAAGUUUCUGAAGAUUAAGAUAAAAAGCCUCUAUCUUUCAUUUGUCUAUGGCAUGUAGAAAUAAAUUCGACUGAUAAAUAGAAGUCGGACAUAAAGUUGAAUCUUUGGAUCAAUCAGAUGAUAUGUGUCAUCACUAAAAACGUAGUAUUUCACUCAACUCUUUCACAUAACAUCAUAACACAAACAUAGAACACUCGAAUUUAAGUUCAAAAACAUAAAAAUCUGAAGUUACCGAGUUCGGAAUAUUUUUUUUCAGAUUCAUGAUGGUCCUUCAUCAAAAGAUCAAAGAAACAUUACCAGGGACCAAAGUUACAGUUUUCUAUCUUUAACUCUUUUCAUUGAAGCAGCAGCAAAAAGAUUUGCAUUAUUCUCUACUCCCUGAGCCUCACAUAGACAACAUCACGUGUUUUCAACUGGAAUCUGCAUUCUUUGAAGAGUUGGAGAAAGAGCCUUCAACUCUUCCCAUCUAAGUCUCUGAUGACAGAGUUACCCGAUAUCUCUAUUGGUGGAAGGUAGACGGUACCGGUUGAAUUAAUCGAAUAGACUCAAGUUGACCUGAGCAUCACUGUUAUACAACAACAAACUAUGCCUCAGCCCCAAACAAAAACUUGCAUAGAGACCUGCAAUAAUGUUCGAAGCCCAAAAUAAGAUAGACAUAAACACACAAUUGAGUGAUAUAAUUUCUAGUGAUCGAAAUCCAUAUGGAUUUCAAACAUCAUUUAGGAAGAAAUCAAGCAGAAGCGCUUGACUAUAGGUGAGGUUUAUCGUGAUCAACUAUUGUUCAGAUUCAUUAAUUAGCAAACUGCUCCACAAUUUCAAAGUUUCGGGGCAAAGAAAAAGAUUCAUAAAAACAAAAGGGAAUACCUCGCCAAACAGACUUAGGAACCAGGUUUGUCAAGAUAUCACUGCAGCUUUCUUUACGCUGUGCUUUAAUCUCUGUGCAAAAUCCAUAUGCAGGAUCCUUUUAACUGAUUUUGAUGAGUCGAGAUUUCACAAAAAUGUAUCUGUCAAACUAUGACUUAGCUGAUGCGGCAGUUAUCAGCUCCACUAAAUAUACUUGUGGGCUGAAACCUUGUGUAUUCCAGCAUCUAACAUUGCUUUUCUCAAGGCAGCAGCAUAAUCCCACCUCUCUGCGCCAGCACAAAUGAUUCGGUUGCGACUCAAGCAGUAGUUGUGAUACUUCAUAUCCCAAUUCAAUAGCUCCAUGAAGUCUACAAGCACCCAUCAGAGCCCCCAAGACAGUAAAGGCAUCAGCUUCAAACAAGAUAAUGUUCCAUCUUAGCUACAAGUCAAAAUUCAUGAGACAUCGCUUCAAACAAUUUAAAACUGAAAUCGACAAGCUUGGCAUACACACAAUUAAGCUGAUAGAACAGACACAAAAGUAAUCUCAUUUGGUUGCAGCCCCUUUGCCCUCAUCUUCUCAUACAUCGUUAAUGCCUACUUCUCUCUUCUAAGAAAAGGGUUGUAGAUUAUUUGUGAUACAUUAAUUUCUAUUCGACCUCCUUUAUGAUGCAAAUAACAUUAAUGAAAGGCAUAAAACAGUACUAAAUUAAGACAGGGAGAUUUGAUAUAUAGUUUAGAGAAUAUUUGGGCCUCUUGAAGUGUAACAGCCCAAAGCACAAAACAUUGAAGACCCAAACCAGCAAAACAAAAGAAAAUCAGAAUCAGACAUAAAGUUGAAUCUUUAGAUCAUUCAAUCAGACGAUAUGUGCCAUCACUAAAAACAUUGUAUUUCACUCAACUCUUACACAUAACACAAACAUACAACACUCGACUUUAAGUUCAGGAACAUAAAAAUCUGUAGUUACAGAGUUUGAAGAUAUUUUUCUACCGACUCAUGAUGGUCCUUCAUCAAAAAAUGGAAGAAACAUCAGGAAAACACAGAAAAUCUAGUAUCCAACACGGCUUCAGAAGGAGAAUCUUCUGUUACUAUCAUCAAUGAAUUCAGUAUUACAAACUUCAGGCCUUAAGAACUGAAAUACAGGUGCUCGGAAAAUUGAUUUAGGCUGUAUAUGGAUGAUAUACAGCGGAAAGGGACGACAUAGGGUUCAUAUACAGUAGUAAUAUACGCUUGGUAUAUAUUCAGGUUUUCAAGGGUAAAAAUAGGGCCAAUGCCCAAACACAACCUGCAGCAGGCCCAAGAAGGGCCCAAAUUCAAUUUCUCCUUCACUCUUAACCUAUUUAACUGUGAUUAUUUACUGUUAGCUUUUUAUUAACUCUAACUUUAAAUAACUUAAUUAAAUACCCAAAAGAUGAACUAUAUUAUUUCUGUUAGUUUAUUUUAAUAUAAUUCAUUUUUUAUCAACUUUCAUACUUUUAUUGAAUAUAUUUAGUCAAAACUUUUUAUUUAUUCUUCAAUUAAUUUAAAAUCGUUUUCAUACUUUUAGUUAAUCAAAUCGGUUUAAAUUAUUAUUUUAAAAUGAUUCAAAUAAAUUUUAAUUAAUCUAGUUUUGUUAAAAUACUAAUCACUUGUAAUUAAAUUCAAAUAUUUUAAUUAAGGUCCCCCUUUCUAAAAAAAAUCAAAAAUUGUUCUUUGUUUAACUAUUUUUUUCAAGUUAAUAUUAAAAGUCAUUUUCAUAAUCACUUCCCAAAAAAUAGUCAAAAAAAUAUUUUAACCAAGUUGUAGGAUAACCGCGUGUUAGCGGAUGCUUCAAAUGCCUUAAAAACCUUCUUGAAGCGUAAAUAAGAACCUCUUACCCAUUUUCUCUAAAUUUUUAAAGACUUAAUCUGUUAGAGUCUUUUUAAAUUAUAAGUUUUUUUGUAAUUUCUCUAAAAAAUAAAGUAGCGACUCUUUUCUAAGUAUUUUUCUCAAAUUGUCUUAUACUUAAAGCAUUUCAAAAGUAAUUUUUCUAAAGAUAGUCAAAUUACAAUAUAUAUAACAUUUAGAUCAUUCGAUCAGAUGAUAUUUGUCAUCACUAAAAACAUUGUAUUCACUCAACUCGUUCACAUGACAUCAUAAUAAAAACAUAGAGCACUCGACUUUAUGUUCAGAAACAUAAAUUUGUAGUUACAGAGUUCGAAAAUAUUUUUUACAGACUCAUCGAAAGAUCAAAGAAACAUCAGGAAACCAUGGACCAAAGUUGAAGUCUUCUAUCUUUAACUAUUUUCAUUGUAGCUUAUAUCAUAAAAAAAUUAACUCAAAGGAGAUUUGGACUCAACUUCAACUUCCUGUGUAUAAUAUUUCAAGAAUAGUAAAACAAGUUGAUAUCUAAAUUUACUUUGAAAUGGCCUUCAUACUUGGAACUAUUAAUUACUGCAGAACUUUAAUCACUCAUUAAUGUAUAAAACAUGUACCCUAUUGAGUUUUCUUAUUGGGAGAAACGGUAGUCUAUCAAUUAGUAAUGACUUUCCAAUUUUUUGGUAGUUUAUCAAUAAAUUAGUAAUGACUUUCCUACAUAAAUUAAAUGAAUACAUGGAUUCUUUAUUACCACAAAUUUUUUAAAAUAACAGUUUUUUUUUUUAAAGUAAGGAAAAAAUGGUCAAUUAAUUUUGUACAGGUAUUUCGUAAUCCAACUUGGCACUUUGAAGCUUCACAAUUUUAAUUGAGCUUUAUAUUUUCAUUGGAACGAACUUUAAUUCUUUAACAUGUGUAUCUUGAGGAGAAGAGAAAGGGAAAGUUCUGAGUGGGGUUAAGGGAACCAAAACAAAUACCUUUUAUGUGACAUUUUUGUCUAUAUAUAAUAAUGUAUCAGACAAAAUGCAUUUGUUAUAUACAAGCGGUGGGACUUUGUUACGUUGUUGCUUUCAUUUGAACAUAUUGAAUGUGCAUAUGUGAUUGUCAACUUCAAAUUGACUGAAAAUGCUUAAUUUAUGCUAAUCUCUAUCUCAUCAAAAUUAUUGAAUACACACACAGAGCAAAUAUCUUCUCUACCAACUUAAUUAGUUUUGAUCAUUUUUAGUGCGGAAAUGGGUUAUGUAAAACUUGUAUUUUUUAUGUUAUAUACCUUUCUCUGUCAACUUGGUAUCUCCUCAUCCUUACCUCAUUUAUGCCCCGAAGAUCAAGCUCUUGCUCUUCUACAAUUUAAGCACAUGUUUACCAUUAAUCCUAAUGCUUCUAAUUUUUGUCGUGAAAUAAUAACAGAUCAAGAGAUUCAGUCAUAUCCAAAAACCCUUUUAUGGAACAAGAGCACAGAUUGUUGCUCAUGGGACGGAGUUCAUUGUGACGAGAUGACGGGACAAGUAAUUGAGCUUGAUCUCAGUUACAGCACACUUCAAGGCAAGUUUCAUUCCAAUAGUAGCCUCUUUCAAUUAUCCAAUCUCAAAAGGCUUGAUUUGUCAUGUAAUAAUUUCACCGGAUCGCUCAUUUCACCUAAAUUUGGUGAGUUCUCUAGCUUGACGCAUCUUGAUUUGUCAGGUACAGGUUUUACAGGUCUAAUGCCAACAGAAAUCUCUCACCUUUCUAAAUUACACGUUCUUCGAUUCAGUGGUCUAUAUGACCUUAGUCUUGGGCGUCACAAUUUUGAACUGCUCCUUAAAAACUUGACCCAAUUAAGAGAGCUCAACCUUGACUAUGUAAACAUCUCUUCCACAAUUCCUCAGAAUUUCUCUUCUUAUUUAAAAAAUCUACGGCUUCCAUACACAGAUUUAUGUGGGGUAUUGCCCAAAAGAGUUUUCCACCUUUCCGAUUUAGAAUUCCUUGAUUUAUCAUCCAAUUCUCAGCUCACUGUUAGGCUUCCCACAACCAAAUGGAAUAGCACUGCAUCACUCAUGUACUUACGUCUCUAUGACGUGAAUAUUACUGAUAGGAUACCUGAAUCAUUUAGCCAUCUAACUUCAUUGCUUGUAUUGGACAUGAGUGAUUGUAAUCUGUCAGGGUCUAUUACUAAACCUCUAUGGAAUCUCACCAACAUAGAGUUGUUGGACCUUGGUAAUAACCAUCUUAAAGGAUCAAUUUCCCGGUUAUCGAGAUUUGGAAAGCUCAAGGACUUAUCACUUAGAAAUAACAACUUUGAUGGCCAACUUGAGUUCUUAUCCUGUAACAGAAGUUGGACCCAACUUAAAUGGCUAGAUUUUACAUCCAAUUUCCUAACUGGUCCAAUUCCAUCCAACGUAAGUGGACUACAAAAUCUACAAUCACUCUACUUGUCAUCAAACAACUUGAAUGGGACUAUACCUUCCUGGAUAUUCUCCCUUCCUUCACUGUCAGAGUUAGAGUUGAACAAUAACACUUUCAGUGGAAAAAUUCAGGAGUUCAAGUCCAAAACAUUGUCUCAAGUUGAUCUAAAACAAAAUCAACUAGAAGGUCCUUUACCAAAUUCACUCCUAAACCAGCCACUCCUAACAUAUCUUCUCCUUUCACACAAUAAUAUCAGUGGACAGAUUGCUUCAACUAUCUGCAAUCUGAAAGAAUUGACUGUGCUAAAUUUGAGAAAUAAUAAUUUGGAGGGAACAAUCCCACAAUGCCUGGGUGAGAUGAAUGAAUACCUUUGGAAUUUGGAUUUGAGCAACAACAGUCUUAGUGGGACAAUCAAUAUAAAUUUUAGUAUUGGAAACUCUUUCAGGGUCAUUAGCUUGCACGGGAAUAAGCUAACAGGGAAAGUCCCACCAUCUUUGAUCAAUUGCAAGUAUUUGACACUUCUUGAUAUAGGUAACAAUCAGUUGAAUGACACAUUUCCAAACUGUUGGAAACCUACCUGAUUUGCAGAUUUUAAGCUUGAGAUCAAAUAAGUUUCACGGCCCCAUUAAAUCUUCAGGGAAUACAAACUUGUUUGCGCAGCUUCAAAUUCUGGAUCUAUCAUCCAAUGGAUUUAGUGGUAAUUUACCAAUUAGUCUUUUUGGGAAUUUGCAAGCCAUGAAGAAAAUUGACGAGAGUACAAGAACCCCAGAGUAUGUUUCUGAUCAAUUUGCUGGUUAUUAUGAAUAUUUGACCACAAUUACAACAAAGGGACAGGAUUAUGAUUCUGUUCGAAUUUUGGAUUCUAACAUGAUUAUCAAUCUCUCAAAGAACAGAUUUGAAGGUCAUAUUCCUAACAUUAUUGGAGAUCUCGUUGGACUUCGUACCUUGAACUUAUCUCAUAAUGUCUUGGAAGGUCAUAUACCAGCAUCAUUGCAAAAUUUAUCUGUACUCGAAUCAUUGGAUUUCUCAUCUAACAAAAUCAGCGGAGGAAUUCCACCACAACUUGCAUCCCUCACAUUUCUUGCAGUCUUAAAUCUCUCUCACAAUCAUCUUGUUGGAUGCAUCCCCAAAGGAAAACAAUUUGAUACGUUUGAGAACACUUCCUACCAAGGGAAUGAUGGGUUACGUGGAUUGCCACUCUCAAAACACUGUGGCGGUGAUGAUAGGGUACCACAAGCAAUAACUCCAUCAGAGCUAGAUCAAGAAGAAGAAGAAGAUUCACCAAUGAUCAGUUGGCAAGCGGUUCUCAUGGGUUACGGUUGUGGACUUGUUAUUGGACUGUCCGUAAUAUACAUAAUGUUGUCAACUCAAUAUCCAACAUGGUUUUCGAGGUUGGUUGUGCAAUUGGAACACAGAAUUACUACGAGAAUGAAAAGGCACGAGAAAAGAUAUUAGUGAGUAGCUACCUUCAAGUAUUCAACUUGAUCUUUAUCUUUCUUGAAGUCAUUUUUUAUAUAUCAAUGUAUUUUCGACCUCCUUCAUCCUCAAAGCUCUUACAUUUAAUUCUUCAUUUUUGAAAAUUGCAGGAUAAAGUUUCUGAAGAUGCAGAUAAAAAGCCUUUAUCUUUCAUAGUUUGUGAUGUUUCCAUAAAGUAUUUGUUAUCCUAUGAAUAAAAACAUGACUUUCCCUUCCUUUGAGACUACAUACCAUAAAGUCUAUGGCAUGUAGAUAUAAAUUCGACUGAUAAACAGAAACCGGACAUAAACUUAAAUCUUUAGAUCAUUUAAUCAGAUGAUAAUACGUGUCAUCACUAAAAACAUAGUAUUUCACUCAACUCUUUCACAUGACAUCAUAACACAAACAUAGAACACUCUACUUUAAGUUCGGAAACAUAAAAAUCUGAAGUUACAGAGUUUGAAAAUAUAUUUUUUCCGAUUCAUGAUGGUCCUUCAUCAAAGGAUCAAAGAAACAUUAGGAAAAAUAUUUGCAUUAUUCUCUACUGCCUGAGCCUCACAUAGACAACAUCAUGUGUUUUCAACUCGAAUCUACAUUCUUUGAAGAGCUGAAGAAAGAACCUUCAACUCUUCCCAUCUAAAUCUUGGAUGAUAGAGUUACCCGAUAUCUCUAUUGGUGGAAGGUAGACGGUACCAGUUGAAUUAAUUGAAUAGAACACAAGUUGACCCAAGCAUCACUGUUAUACAAUAACAAACUACGCCUCAGCCCCAAAAAAUAACUUGCAUAGAGACCUGCAAUAAUGUUCAAACCCCAAAAUAAGAUAGACAUAAACAUAUAACUGAGUGAUAGAAUUUCUAGUGAUCGAAAUCCAUAAGGAAUUCAAACUUCAUUUAGGAAGAAAUCAAGCAGAAGCGCUUGCCUAUAGGUGAGCUUUAUUGUGAUCAACUAUUGUUCAGAUUCAUUAAUUAGCAAACCGCUGCAUAAUUUUGAAGUUUCGGGGCAAACAAACUUUGGAACCAGAUCUGUCAAGCUAUGACUUAGUUGAUUUUGAUGAGUCGAGAUUCCAUCACCAAGAUGCGGCAGUUAUCAGCUCCACUAAAUAAAACUGUGGGCUGGAACCUUGUGUGUAUUCCAGCAUCUAACAUUGCUUUUCUCAAGGCAUCAGCAUGAUCCCACCUCUCUGCACCAGCAUAAAUGCUUGAGAGUUGCAUAUAACACCCUGAAUGCUUGAGAGUUAUGCUACUUCAAUAGCUCCAUGAAGUCUACAAGCACCCAUCAGAUCCCCCAAGACAGUAGCAUCAGCUUCAAAAGGCAUCUUCUUUAGUCUUCCUGCAGUUUCCCAGCUCUCCCUAAGAGAUCAACCACACAACCAUAAGUUGAAUCUUUAGAUCAUUCAAUCAGGUGAUAUGUGCCAUCACUAAAAACAUUGUGUUUCACUCAACUCUUUCACAUAACACAAACAUACAACACUCGACUUUAAGUUCAGGAACAUAAAAAUCUGUAGUUACAGAGUUCGAAGAUAUCAUUAAUGCGUGCUUCUCCCUUCCAUUCAAGCUGGGGAAGAAAUCAUAACACGACCAUCGCAUCAAUUACCUUUGAAGCAUAUAUCAAACAACCCAUAAAAUGAGAUCAAUGCGGUCGUCAGAAGUUGAAGCAUAUGUUCUGUAACAGCCCAAAGCACAAAACAAAAGAAAAUCAGAAUAAGAAUCAGAAAUAAAGUUGAAUCUGAAUCGUUAGAUCAUUCAAUCAGACGAUAUGUGCCAUCACUAAAACCAUUGUAUUUCACUCAACACGUUCACAUAACACAAACAUAGAACACUCGACUUUAAGUUCAGGAACAUAAAAAUCUGUAGUUACAGAGUUUGAAGAUAUUUUUCUACAGACUCAUGAUUGUCUAUAAUAAGGUAUCACACAAAAUGCAUGUAUUUUUACAAAGUGAUUGUGUUAUCAAAUAACUACAUGAACUCUAAAUACUCAUACAUAAGUAGUGAUUAUCAUUUAAAGAGCACUUUCAUGGAACUUUUUAAUUGUGCAAAUUUUAUUUCAGGAGAAGUUAAAAAAAGAAAAGGCGAAUUUGUGAAUUUACUCCGAAAAUUUUAAAAAGUGACCUUCAUUUUUUAAUUUUCUUUUGUACAAAAAUGGACUAAUGGACCUGAGAUCAUGCUGAAAGUAUAACUUUACAUUUUAAUAAACAUUUGACAGAAAGCAAAGUAGAAACUUUCUUCUCUUCUUUUGUUUUGUAAUAGAAAGGCAAAGUUAUGGGUGGGAGUGGGGGCAGGGUUGUUAAAGGAGUAAGAAAAGUUCUGUCACAGCAACCAACACUAUAUUAUCCUAACCAGUCAAUAUCUUUUUAGAAUUUUGACUUGAAAUGUCUUUUCUCAAAGUAUAUACGUCAAUUAUUACUUUAUUCUUAAUCAAACUUUUUGAAUUUCAGCAGAACUGAUUAUAUCAAUGCAAUAAUUGAAGGUGAGGGGUUCCAAACAAGUACUGCUGCAACAUAAGGUUGAUGUAAUUUAUUUUGAACUCACCAAAGUUGAGGAAAAUAAGGUUUCUUGAAGGAGUAGCAUUGAGAAUGUGAAACUUUGUUCAUACACCCAACCGACAUAACAACUUUCUGAUUUAUUCAAUCAUGGUUAUCAAAUGCAGCUCAUACCUAUAGAUUAUCUCCAAAAUAGCUUUCUACUUCAUCACAUCCAGUUCCAAAAUUGUGAAAAUCUGAAUCUGGAAAAGCAGGUUACUGAUCUAUUAUUUUGUUCACUUACAGUAUUAGCCAAUCGUGGAUUUAUCAAAAUAGUACUUUUACUUGUCCCAAUUUUUAAUAAAAAGAAGAAGAGAAAGGUGUGUGUAAAGAGAAUCAAAACAAAGAACUUUUUUGUGAACUAUUGAAUGAAAAUGACCUGGAAUUGAUUACUCCAAAGCAACAACUAAACUUCUUUGCUUAGUUUGUGCUAUAUAUAUCUCAUCAAACUUACUAUAGACACAGAGCAAGCAUUUCUUGAUUUCUUCUCUAUCAACUUAAUUAGUUUUGAUCAUUUUAGUGCAGAAAUGGGUUGUGUAAAACUUGUAUUUUUUAUGCUAUAUACCUUUCUAUGUCAACUUGCUUUCUCCUCAUCCUUACCUCAUUUGUGCCCCAAAGAUCAAGCUCUUUCUCUUCUACAAUUCAAGCACAUAUUUACCAUUAAUCCUAAUGCUUCUGAAUAUUGUUACGACAUAACAGACCAAGAGAUUCAGUCAUAUCCACGAACUCUUUUAUGGAACAAGAGCACAGAUUGUUGCUCAUGGGAUGGAGUUCAUUGUGACGAGACGACAGGACAAGUGAUUGAGCUUGAUCUCCGUUGCAGCCAACUUCAAGGCAAGUUUCAUUACAACAGUAGCCUCUUUCAACUCUUCAAUCUCAAAAGGCUUGAUUUGUCUUGCAAUAAUUUCUCCGGAUCGCUCAUUUCACCUAAAUUUGGUGAGUUCUCUAACUUGAGGCAUCUUGAUUUGUCGCGUUCAAAUUUUACAGGUCUAAUCCCAGUUGAAAUCUCGCACCUUUCUAAACUACACGUUCUUCGUAUAGGUGAUCAAUAUGAGCUUAGUCUUGGACCUCACAAUUUUGAACUGCUCCUUAAGAACUUGACCCAAUUAAGAGAGCUCAAUCUUCACUAUGUGGACAUCUCUUCCACUAUUCCUUCAAAUUUCUCUUCUCAUUUAACAACUCUACAACUUGCAGACACACAGAUACGUGGGAUACUUCCCGAAAGAGUUUUCCACCUUUCCAACUUAGAAUCCCUCGAUUUAUCAGAAAAUCCCCAGCUCACUAUUAGGUUUCCCACUACCAAAUGGAAUAGCAGUGCAUCACUCAUGGAGUUACAUCUCAGUCAUGUGAAUUUUACUGGUAGGAUACCUGAAUCUUUUAGCCAUCUAACUUCACUGCAUAAGUUGUACCUUGAUAAUAACCAUCUUGAAUGACCGAUUUCUCAGUUCUUGAGAUUUGAAAAGCUCAGGUACUUAUCACUUAGAAAUAACAACUUUGAUGGCCAACUUGAGUGUUUAUCCUUUAACAGAAGCUGGACGCAAUUUGUAAUGUUAGAUUUUCGGUCCAAUUCCCUAACUGGUCCAAUUCCAUCCAACGUAAGUGGACAGCAAAACCUAAAAUGGCUUAUCUUGUCAUCAAACCACUUGAAUGGGACUAUACCUUUCUGGAUAUUCUCCCUUCCUUCACUGAUAAUGUUAAACUUGAGCAAUAACAUUUUCAGUGGAAAAAUUCAGGAGUUCAAUUCCAAAACAUUAGCUGUCGUUAUUCUGAGAAAAAAUCAGCUGGAAGGUCCUAUUGCUUCAGCUAUCUGUAAUCUGAAAACAUUGUUUCUACUAGAUUUGAGAAGCAAUAAUUUGGAGGGAACAAUCCCACAAUGUUUGGGUGAGAUGAGUGCAGUUGAGAUUUUGGAUUUAAGCAACAAUAGUCUUAGUGGGACAAUCAAUACAACUUUUAGUAUUGGAAACUAUCUCAGAGUCAUUAGCUUGCAUGAGAAUAAGCUAGAGGGGAAAGUCCCACGAUCUUUGAUCAAUUGUAAAAAUUUGGAACUUGUUAAUUUAGGUAACAAUCAGUUGAAUGAUACAUUUCCAAGAUGGAUGGGAAUCCUACCGAGUUUGAUGAUUUUAAAUUUGAGAUCAAAUAAGUUGCACGGGCCCAUUAAAACUUCAAGGACUGGAAACUUGUUUGCGCAGCUUCAAAUUAUGGAUCUAUCAUCCAAUGGAUUUAGUGGCAAUUUACCUGAAAGUCUUUUUGUGAAUUUGCAAGCCAUGAAGAAAAUUGAUGAGAACAUGAUAGGGAAAGAGGUUUUUGAUUAUGAUGAUUCUUUAACAAUUACAAUAAAGGGAUUGGAUCUUACUUUUGCUAGAGUUUUGUGGAGAAAUAACAUAGUUAUAGAUCUCUCAAGAAAUAGAUUUGAAGGUCCUAUUCCAAACAUUAUAGGACAUCUCAUUGGACUUCGUGUGUUAAACUUAUCUCAUAAUGUCUUGGAAGGUCAUAUACCAGCAUCAUUGCAAAAUCUAUCUGUACUCGAAUCAUUGGAUCUCUCAUCUAACAAAAUCAACGGAGAAAUUCCGCAGCAACUUGCAUCCCUCACAUUUCUUGAAGUCUUAAAUCUCUCUCACAAUCAUCUUGUUGGAUGCAUUCCCAAAGGAAAACAAUUUGAUACGUUUGAGAAUAGUUCAUACCAAGGGAAUGGUGGGUUACGUGGAUUGCCACUCUCAAAACAUUGUGGUGGUGAUGGUAGGGUACCACAAGCAACAAUUCCAGUUGAGCUAGAUCAAGAAGAAGAAGAUUCACCAAUGAUCAGUUGGCAGGCAGUUCUCAUGGGUUACGCUUGUGGUCUAGUUAUUGGACUAUCUGUAAUAUACAUAAUGUUGUCAACUCAAUAUCCAGCAUGGUUUUCGAGGAUGGAUUUAAAAUUGGAACACGGAAUUACUACGAGAAUGAAAAAACACAAGAAAAGAUAUUAGUGUGUAGCGACCUCCAGGUAUUCAACUUGAUCUUUAUCCUUCAAAAGAUUACUUCUUAUAUAUCGAUGUAUUUUCCACCUCCUUCAUCCUUAAAGCUCUUAACUUUAAUUCUUUAUUUUUGAAAAAUGCAGGAUUCAAGUCUACUUAGUUGCUGGGAAUGUAGAUAAAAGCCUUCAUCUUUCAUAGUUUGUGAUGUUUCCAUGAAGUGUUUGUUAUCUUAUGAAUAAAGAUAUCACUUUUCUUACUUUGAGACUCAACCAAAUUUUGUUUUCAUUUGUCUAUGGCAUGUAGAAACAAAUUCGACAGAAACAGAAAUCGAACACAAACUUGAAUCUUCAUAUCAUUCAAUCGGACGAUAUAUGUCAUCACUAAAAACAUUGUAUUUCACUCAACUCUGUCACAUGACAUCAUAACAAAAACAUAGAGCAGUCGACUUCAUGUUCAGAAACAUAAGUCUCAGAUGACAGAGUUCCCCGAUAUCUCUAUUGGUGGAAGGUAGACGGUACUGGUUGAAUUAAUUGAAUAGAACACAAGUUGACCUGAGCAUCUCUGUUAUACAACAACAAACUACGCCUCAGACCCAAACAAUAACUUGCAUAGAGAUCUGCAAUACUGUUCAAAGCCCAAAAUAAGAUGGACAUAAACACACAAUUGAUUGAUAGAAUUUCUAGUGAUCGAAAUCCAUAUGGAUCUCAAACUUCAUUUGGGAAGAAAUCGAGCAAAAGCUCUUGACUAUAGGUGAGGUUUAUCGUGAUCAACUAUUGUUCAGAUUCAUUAAUUAAUCAGCAAACCGCUCCAUAAUUUCAAAGUUUCGGGGGAAACAGACUUUGGAACCAGAUCUGUCAAGCUAUGACUUAGUUGAUUUUGAUGAGUCGAGAUUCCAUCACCAAGAUGCGGAGUUAUCAGCUCCGCUAAAUAAAACUGUGGGGUGGAACCUUGUGUAUUCCAGCAUCUAACAUUGCUUUUCUCAAGGCAGCAGCAUAAUCCCACCUCUCUGCGCCAGCAUAAAUGAUUCCGUUGUGACUCAAGCAAUAGUUGUGCUACUUCAUUUUCCAAUUCAAUAGCUCCAUGAAGUCUACAAGCACCCAUCAGUGAACCUUUUAAUUGUGUAAAUUUUAUUUCAUGAGAAGUAAAAGAAAAAAAAAAAGGUGAUAUGUGAAUUUACUCUGAAAAUUUUAAAAAGUGACCAUUUUUUUAAUUUUCUUUGGUACGAAAAUGGACUAAUGGACCUGAGAUCAUGCUGAAAGUAUAACUUUACAUUUUAAUAAACAUUUGACAGAAAGCAAAGUAGAAAUUUUCUUCUCUUCUUUUGUUUUGUAAUAGAAAGGCAAAGUUGUGGGUGGGAGUGGGGGCAGGGUUGUUAAAGGAGUAAGAAAAGUUCUGUCACAGCAACCAACACUAUAUUAUCGUAACCAGUCAAUAUCUUUUUAGAAUUUUGACUUGAAAUGUCUUUUCUCAAAGUAUAUACGUCAAUUAUUACUUUAUUCUUAAUCAAACUUUUUGAAUUUUCAGUAGAACUGAUUAUAUCAAUGCAAUAAUUGAAGGUGAGGGGUUCCAAACAAGUACUGCUGCAACAAGUUAGAAACUGGUGAUGUAAUUUGUGUUGAAGGAGUAGCAUUGAGAAUAAGAGUAUCACUUCACUUUAUACAUAGUCUUUUUCUUACCAACUUCUAAUGCGAGACUUUGUUCAUACACCCAACCGACAUAACAACUUUCUACUUUAUUCCGUCGCGGUUAUCAAAUGCAGCUUAUACCUGCAGAUUAUCUCCAAAACAGCUUUCUACCUCAUCACAUCCAGUUCUAAAAUUGUGAAAAUCUGAAUCUGGAAAAGUAAUUAACAAACAUUGAACAGGUUACUGAUCUAUUAUUUUGUUCACUUACAGUAUUAGCCAAUCAUGGAUUUAUCCAAAUAAUACUUUUAAUUGUCCCAAUUUUUAAUAAAAAGAAGAAGAGAAAGUUGUGUGUGUGGAGGGUUGUAAAGAGAAUCAAAACAAAGAACUUUUUUGUGAACUAUUGAAUGAAAUGACCUUCUUGAAUUGAUUACUCCAAAGCAACAACUAAACUUCUUUGCUUAGUUUGUGCUAUAUAUAUCUUAUCAAACUUACUAUAGACACAGAGCAAACAUUCUUGAUUUCUUCUCUAUCAACUUAAUUAGUUUUGAUCAUUUUAGUGCAGAAAUGGGUUGUGUAAAACUUGUAUUUUUUAUGCUAUAUACCUUUCUAUGUCAACUCGCUUUCUCCUCAUCCUUACCUCAUUUGUGCCCCAAAGAUCAAGCUCUUUCUCUUCUACAAUUCAAGCACAUAUUUACCAUUAAUCCUAAUGCUUCUGAAUAUUGUUACAGCAUAACAGACCAAAGGAUUCAGUCAUAUCCACGAACUCUUUUAUGGAACAAGAGCACAGAUUGUUGCUCAUGGAAUGGAGUUCAUUGUGACGAGACAACAGGACUGGUGAUUGAGAUUGAUCUCCGUUGCAGCUAACUUCAAGGCAAGUUUCAUUCCAACAGCAGCCUCUUUCACCUCUCCAAUCUCAAAAGGCUUGAUUUGUCUUAUAAUAAUUUCUCUGGAUCGCUCAUUUCACCUAAUUUUGGUGAGUUCUCUAGCUUGACGCAUCUUGAUUUGUCAGGUUCAAGAUUUACAGGUCUAAUCCCAACAGAAAUCUCUCACCUUUCUAAAUUACACGUUCUUCGUAUGGGUGAUCAAAAUGGGCUUAGUUUUGGGCCUCACAAUUUUGAACUACUCCUUAAGAACUUGACCCAAUUAAGAGAGCUCAAUCUUGACUUUCUGAACAUCUCUUCGAGCAUUCCUCUGAAUUUCUCUUCUUAUUUAAAAACUCUAAGGCUUCUAGACACACAGUUACGUGGGGUAUUGCCCGAAAGAGUUUUCCACCUUUCCAACUUAGAAUCUCUCGAUU
rnacentral:lncRNA from 1 species